GCAGGGAUGAGAGAAAAGCGGGGCAGUUAAUUGUAAACUGCAAAUGAAUAUAAUUCUUUAGGAACUAAGAUUGUCUGGACUUGCAAGUGUGAAAGAAGAACACGCCAAUUUAUUUUCAAUUUAAUAUAUUACUUCGUUGAGGUAGUAUAUCAUUUUAUGAUGACGACAAAGCAAAAGUUGAGCGUAAACGGACUGAUAGUUCCAGCAUUCUUGCCGUUCCAAACCUUAACGGACGCCCGAAAACGAAUUGCUAAUAUUGUUAAUUUAACUACGAGAAAAGAAGAUGUUUUUGUUAUUUCCUAUCCAAAAUCAGGAAACCAUUGGUUGAAUGCAAUCGUGCCCCGCCUUCAGAAUUCAAGUCUGGACACCCCUCACAAAAUGACAGAAAAAUUCCUGGAGUUUAUUCCAGAUCUUCAAGAACUGGAAACAGUUCCUUCACCUCGUAUAAUGACGUCACAUCUUUCAGUUAAAUAUACUCCAUAAGAAAACAAUGGGAAAAUUUUACACUCCAUUCGAAACCCUAAAGACAUCGCAGUGUCAGCUUUUCAUCAUUACACAACAGAUCCAGUGGUCAAAGACUAUGUACACCCUGAUUGGACCAGUUUCUUGAACGAUUUCUUACGUGGAGAAUGCUACUAUGGAAGUUGGUUUGAACGAGAGAAAGAAUGGGAACAAGCCGCACAACAAAAUCCCGAGAAGAUAUUGAUAGUCUUUUAUGAAGAUCUGAAGAAGAAUGGUAUGGAGA